UGCAGGCAGAUUCUUUACCAUCUGAGCCACCAGGGAAGCCCAUUCGAAAUCAGCAUUUCCCAAGUCCAUUGACUCACACCAAAGAGGAGGAAGCGGGUACAGAAGUGUGUUCAUGUCAGACCCGGUGGCAUGGUGCUAGUAGCCUCUCCUGGUCAGUUUUGUCCUGGCAGCAGCAGAUCAAGAGCCACCAGGAAGACAGAAGUAUCCGGUUGAAAGCUAUGCCCCAAAGCCCUGCAAGGAAUUGAGCAAGUGAGCACCCUCCAGAGUUGCUGCUCAACAUUAGGACCUCGGCAUGUAUUGUAAGGGCAACCACUGCUGCACGCUGGACAUGAAAGACACCACCCUGCUGCCCCAGAAACUGGAUCUUGCUGCCUCAGCAAUACUUCCAGGGUCUUACACUGCAUCUUUGAUGGAUGUAUUUAUCUUUUAUUUCCCAGAAGAAAGAAAUGUUCUUUUGACUUACCAUAUUGGCUGGGAGAAGUAGAUUUCAGGAGUCUCCACUUGGAUCUUGCAGUGAAAUAGCCUUUUUCCAGGGAUUGGAAAACUAAAUGGGGUGGGGGGAGAUUCUGACAGUUGUUGCCCAGGUGUAUUUCAGUUAUUUAUGUAUAAUAUAUCAGGGUGAUAUUGGGCCCACAAUGAGAUGAAAAUAGGUCAAAAUUCUACUUACAACAAGAUUCCUAUAAGCACCCUCUCUGAUUGGUGAACUGCAAUGGAAUUCUGGGGCCUGAAACAUUAGUGGGUGGGCUGUCUAUCCAUGAUUUUAAGAAUGCCAUGCUUAAUUAGCUAGCCCUGAAGAUCCCAGAUGUUUUGGAUACCAAAUUAUAAAUAAUUGCCUUAUCAAAGUGGCAGCAACCAUAUACAUGUGUUCGGAGCACCACACCAAUUUUGACAAGGUAAUUAUUUAUAAUACGGUAUUCAAAAUUUGAUCUUAUUUUCUAAUUUGAUAUCUCCCACCCACAUCUCUGGGCUUCCCAGCUGACACCAGUGGUGAGGAAUCUGUUGCUAAUGCAGGAGACA